UACGUAGGUGGCAAGCGUUGUUCGGAAUUAUUGGGCGUAAAGAGCUCGUAGGCGGUUUGUCGCGUCUGCCGUGAAAGUCCGGGGCUCAACUCCGGAUCUGCGGUGGGUACGGGCAGACUAGAGUGAUGUAGGGGAGACUGGAAUUCCUGGUGUAGCGGUGAAAUGCGCAGAUUUCAGGAGGAACACCGAUGGCGAAGGCAGGUCUCUGGGCAUUAACUGACGCUGAGGAGCGAAAGCAUGGGGAGCGAACAGG
rnacentral:rRNA from 1 species